rnacentral:tRNA from 1 species
GGGGCCGUAGCCCAACGGUAGAGGCCCGCGGUUUAGGUCCGCGUAAGUUCGGGUUCGAAUCCCGACGGCCCCACCG